rnacentral:rRNA from 1 species
AGUGAACGCUGGCGGUAGGCCUAACACAUGCAAGUCGAACGGCAGCACAGUAAGAGCUUGCUCUUACGGGUGGCGAGUGGCGGACGGGUGAGGAAUACAUCGGAAUCUACUUUUUCGUGGGGGAUAACGUAGGGAAACUUACGCUAAUACCGCAUACGACCUACGGGUGAAAGCAGGGGAUCUUCGGACCUUGCGCGAUUGAAUGAGCCGAUGUCGGAUUAGCUAGUUGGCGGGGUAAAGGCCCACCAAGGCGACGAUCCGUAGCUGGUCUGAGAGGAUGAGCAGCCACACUGGAAGUGAGACACGGUCCAGACGCCGACGGGAGGCAGCAGUGGGGAAUAUUGGACAAUGGGCGCAAGCCUGAUCCAGCCAUACCGCGUGGGUGAAGAAGGCCUUCGGGUUGUAAAGCCCUUUUGUUGGGAAAGAAAAGCAGCAGGUUAAUACCCCGCUGUUCUGACGGUACCAAAAGAAUAAGCACCGGCUAACUUCGUG